rnacentral:rRNA from 1 species
AGAGUUUGAUCCUGGCUCAGAUUGAACGCUGGCGGCGUGCCUAACACAUGCAAGUCGAGCGGUAACAGGUGUAGCAAUACAUGCUGACGAGCGGCGAACGGGUGAGUAAUGCUUCGGAAUCUACCCUCUAGUGGGGAAUAACCAGCCGAAAGGUUGGCUAAUACCGCAUACGUCCUACGGGAGAAAGCAGGGGAUCGUAAGACCUUGCGCUGAUGGAUGAGCCGAAGUCGGAUUAGCUAGUUGGUGAGGUAACGGCUCACCAAGGCGACGAUCCGUAGCUGGUCUGAGAGGACGACCAGCCACACUGGGACUGAGACACGGCCCAGACUCCUACGGGAGGCAGCAGUGGGGAAUAUUGGACAAUGGGGGCAACCCUGAUCCAGCGACGCCGCGUGUGUGAAGAAGGCCUGCGGGUUGUAAAGCACUUUUAGUGGGGAUGAAAUGUGCAGGGUUAAUACCUCUGCAUUUUGACCUAACCCACAGAAAAAGCACCGGCUAACUCUGUGCCAGCAGCCGCGGUAAUACAGAGGGUGCAAGCGUUAAUCGGAAUUACUGGGCGUAAAGCGUGCGCAGACGGUUAUAUAAGUCGGGUGUGAAAGCCCCGGGCUCAACCUGGGAAUUGCAUUCGAGACUGUGUAGCUAGGGUACGGAAGAGGGAAGCGGAAUUUCAGGUGUAGCGGUGAAAUGCGUAGAUAUCUGAAGGAACACCAGUGGCGAAAGCGGCUUCCUGGUCCAGUACCGACGUUCAGGCACGAAAGCGUGGGGAGCAAACAGGAUUAGAUACCCUAGUAGUCC